rnacentral:rRNA from 1 species
AACGAACGCUGGCGGCAGGCUUAACACAUGCAAGUCGAGCGCCCCGCAAGGGGAGCGGCAGACGGGUGAGUAACGCGUGGGAAGCUACCCAUCUCUACGGAAUAACGCAUGGAAACGUGUGCUAAUACCGUAUACGUCCUUCGGGAGAAAGAUUUAUCGGAGAUGGAUGAGCCCGCGUUGGAUUAGCUAGUUGGUGGGGUAAAGGCCUACCAAGGCGACGAUCCAUAGCUGGUCUGAGAGGAGGAUCAGCCACACUGGGACUGAGACACGGCCCAGACUCCUACGGGAGGCAGCAGUGGGGAAUAUUGGACAAUGGGCGCAAGCCUGAUCCAGCCAUGCCGCGUGAGUGAUGAAGGCCCUAGGGUUGUAAAGCUCUUUCACCGGUGAAGAUAAUGACGGUAACCGGAGAAGAAGCCCCGGCUAACUUCGUGCCAGCAGCCGCCGUAAAAC